GGGGUUGUGGCUCAGAGGUAGAGCACUCGCUUAGAAUGUGUGAGGCACUGGGUUCUAUCCUCAGCACCG
rnacentral:tRNA from 1 species